AACCCCCUGCCAUGUCCGUGAUCGGCAGGUUGUCCGAGCCAACAUUGAUGUCGAGGGUGACUCCGCUGUUCGGUGAUAGAGAAGUCGUCUAUGGCGAAUUCCAUGAGGCGGAUAAGAGUAACGCCCACCUAACUUGGUUAGGUUCGAUAUCAACUUGUUCGACACGGCAGCGGCGGGGGGUUG
rnacentral:other from 1 species